GACGAACGCUGGCGGCGUGCUUAACACAUGCAAGUCGAACGGAAAGGCCCUGCUUUGUGGGGGUGCUCGAGGGGCGAACGGGUGAGUAACACGUGAGUAACCUGCCCUUGACUUUGGGAUAACUUCAGGAAACUGGGGCUAAUACCGGAUAGGAGCUCCUGCUUCAGGGUGGGGGUGGGAUAGUUUCGGCGGUUGGGGAUGGACUCGCGGCUUAUCAGCUUGUUGGUGGGGUAGUGGCUUACCAAGGCUUUGACGGGUAGCCGGCCUGAGAGGGUGACCGGCCACAUUGGGACUGAGAUACGGCCCAGACUCCUACGGGAGGCAGCAGUGGGGAAUAUUGCACAAUGGGCGGAAGCCUGAUGCAGCAACGCCGCGUGCGGGAUGACGGCCUUCGGGUUGUAAACCGCUUUCGCCUGUGACGAAGCGUGAGUGACGGUAAUGGGUAAAGAAGCACCGGCUAACUACGUG
rnacentral:rRNA from 1 species